UCUUAACUCUAGGAGAAGCUUUCUCAACACUUUGAUACAUCUAGCGGAUUUGGAUUUCUUUAACAACUAAGGUUCCUGUUUUUAACAUUUUAAAACCAAGGGCUUUUGCCCAUCUCCAAUAGCUAACAAGAACUCUUUCUUUUCUUUACAAAUCCCAAAACUUUUACUAGACUUUUUCUGCUUCUUUACCUUACUUCACCUAGAGUCUUUUACCUUUUCUCAUCAAUGAAUCAACCCUUUUUUUUUUUUUAAAACACAUCCCAACCCAAAGUAUAAGCGCCCACCUAGUCCUAUCUAGUCCGAAAAAUGCGAACUAGAACUACAUGAGACACUAUCUCUGUCGUUACGAACCUAACACUUUCUACCAAGCUUAAUCG
rnacentral:sRNA from 1 species